GGCGGCUGUUGUGACAGGGAGGGAGUCGCACGCGGUUUUGUGUGUUAACUUAUAAAUGAAUAGAAAGUGUUCCGGGUGUUCAGCUAAGUGCCAAAAGGACAAAUAACUUAGUGGCAGAAACUAUGCCUCUAUUCGCCCGUCAGAGAAAGGGCAUGUGAAGUAACAAGUGCACACAACCGUCAGCAAGUCCCUUUUGAAGGUGUCACCCGUGUGGACGUCCGAGCCUCUUUCUGCGCAACUCUAAAUCAAAUCUCAAACCUUAACUGCUGGAUAAUUAAAGUGCUUUCGCCCCAUAAUCAAAAUGUGUGGCCACAAAAGACGACUUUGAUAUAGUUGUCUGUGCUCUGAAGUUUACUGACUCGACGAGUGCAUGGGACCUGCUUGCACAGACUGACAGUGGUCUUGUCCAAAGUGUAGUGAGGCUGGGGAGUCUGUCCUGUGCCCUGGGGAGGAAAAAUGAUGACAGCCUCUGAAGCUCUUCGUCGACUCUUACGGACGUGUAAUAAUCGCCACUAUUCUCUGUGAACUAAAAACACACACACAUAUAUAAAACAAAAGUCUUGAGUGUUCUUUCGUGUAUCUGAAAACAGUACAAAGUUGCCGGCACGUGCUCGGUAGAGGCGCCAUCUAGUUCCCUAAGAGGACGUUCAGCUUUGUUAUCCACGAAGAGAACAGCAGCAGAAAUAUCAAAAGCACCAUCACUAACGCCAGCAGCAGCAUCAUCAUCAGCAACACCACCACUAGCAGCAGCAGCAGCAAGAGAGGGGGCCCCUGAGGAGCAGCACAGGGGCGAUGUUCCCUUACUCGACCUGCAUGUGCUUCAAGUCCAGGGACAAGAAGAACCGAGGAUGGAGAUGCUUCCUGCCGUCCGACACUCAGGUACUGGUUCUCUCUCUUGUUACGUGUUCAUUAUCAUCCACCCAUCUGCUGCGUAUCUCUAGGAUCUACGUAUAUCUGUCUGUUAACUUAUUUAUUUAUCUAUCCAA